rnacentral:rRNA from 1 species
GGGUUACACUAAAAAAAAGGGUCAAGCCCUGCCCAGAUGACACAGUUUAAACGGCCGCGGUACCCUAACCGUGCGAAGGUAGCAUAAACAGAUUGGUCUCUAAAUAGGGACUAGUAUGAAAGGCACUACGAGGGCUUUACUGUCUCCUUUCUCCAAUCAGUGAAACUGAUCUCCCUGUGAAAAAGCAGGGAUAAAGAUAUUAGACGAGAAGACCCCAUGGAGCUUUAAACCCAACAACAACCCAAACGCUUCAACUCCUAAUAGUUUUACAAAGUACUGCUUGUUGGUUUUAGGUUGGGGUGACCGCGGAGAACAAACAAACCUCCACGACGUACGGGACCAACCCCUUACCCGAGAGCCACUCCUCGAAGGAUUAACAAAUUAACGUUAAAUGAUCCAACUUAUUGAUCAACGGACCAAGUUACCCUGGGGAUAACAGCGCAAUCCAUUUCUAGAGCCCCUAUCAAAAAAUGGGUUUACGACCUCGAUGUUGGAUCAGGGUAUCCCGGUGGUGCAGCCGCUACCAACGGUUUGUUUGUUCAACAAUUAAAACCCUACGUGAUCUGAGUUCAGACCGGAAGAAUCGAUAU